GCAUUGUCACACGGGUGCCCUUGCUGGUCUUCCUGGCCCAUCUCCCAAGGCUCAGCGCGAGCGAGGCCAAAGGAGAGGGUUGGGAGCAGGCUGAGGGCUGAGAUUAAACCGUCGAACUUGAACGUCUUCAGUGGCGCGUAAGAAGUGACAUGAUUUGAGGG
rnacentral:ncRNA from 1 species